rnacentral:lncRNA from 1 species
UAGUUGCUUUGAGAAAGGACAACAAUUUUAAUAUAAACUAAGUCAGGGUAACACAAAGAAAUGACUGGGAGGAAGAGAAUUGGUGAGAAAAGCAGGGGGCAGUGUCCCUUCUCUAACUAACCCUUUUCCCUCCCUCCUCGAGUUUGGGGAACUCAGGCCUUGGCAGCCUGCACCACCUGGAGAAAGAGUCAGGUUUACCUGCCCUGGUCUUUGGUCCCUGGCCACAGUUCAGACCCAGGGCACCAGGAGCUGUGAGCUGCUCUUAUCCUUCUUGAAGACGACCAAGAAUCACCCUAUGAUGAGUAAGCAAUAUGGUGGCUAUCUAAAACUUGAGUCUCGGUUACAAGAACACGAAGAGAAAAGUGAUCUUAAUGCAAUGGGCGGGAAAUCUUCCUGUUUUUAUUUUCAAUCUUUGGCUGGCUAGGAAAAUAUCCAUGUAUUCUUUCUUUAAAAAUGUUUUUUUUCUUGAUAUCUUUUGUGUUGAAAUCACAUUUAUAUUUAGUGAUA